rnacentral:rRNA from 1 species
GAUGAACGCUAGCUACAGGCUUAACACAUGCAAGUCGAGGGGCAGCAUGAAAGGAACUUCGGUUCUUUUUGAUGGCGACCGGCGCACGGGUGCGUAACGCGUAUCGAACCUGCCUCAUACUCGGGGAUAGCCUUGCGAAAGUAAGAUUAAUACCCGGCGGUCUCGGAUGGCCGCAUGACUGUCCGAGUGAAGAUUUAGCGGUAUGAGAUGGCGGUGCGUCCCAUUAGCUAGUUGGUGAGGUAACGGCUCACCAAGGCAUCGAGGGGUAGGGGUUCUGAGAGGAAGGUCCCCCACAUUGGAACUGAGACGCGGUCCAAACUCCUACGGGAGGCAGCAGUGAGGAAUAUUGGUCAAUGGACGAAAGUCUGAACCAGCCAAGUAGCGUGCAGGACGACGGCCCUCUGGGUUGUAAACUGCUUUUAGUUGGGAAUAAAAAGAGGGACGUGUCCCUUAUUGUAUGUACCAUCAGAAAAAGGACCGGCUAAUUCCGUGCCAGCCGCCGCCGUAA